ACUCCUACGGGAGGCAGCAGUGGGGAAUAUUGCACAAUGGGCGCAAGCCUGAUGCAGCCAUGCCGCGUGUGUGAAGAAGGCCUUCGGGUUGUAAAGCACUUUCAGUCGUGAGGAAGGUAGUGUAGUUAAUAGCUGCAUUAUUUGUACGUUAGCGACAGAAGAAGCACCGGCUAACUCCGUGCCAGCAGCCGCGGUAAUACGGAGGGUGCGAGCGUAAUCGGAAUUACUGGGCGUAAAGCGCAUGCAGGUGGGUUUGUUAAGGUCAGAUGUGAAAGCCCGGGGCGUCAACCUCGGAAUAGCAUUUGAAACUGGCAAGACUAGAGUACUGUAGAGGGGGUAGAAUUUCAGGUGUAGCGGUGAAAUGCGUAGAGAUCUGAAGGAAUA
rnacentral:rRNA from 1 species